UACGAAGGGGGCUAGCGUUGCUCGGAAUCACUGGGCGUAAAGGGUGCGUAGGCGGGUCUUUAAGUCAGGGGUGAAAUCCUGGAGCUCAACUCCAGAACUGCCUUUGAUACUGGCGAUCUUGAGUCCGGGAGAGGUGAGUGGAACUGCGAGUGUAGAGGUGAAAUUCGUAGAUAUUGGGAAGAACACCAGUGGCGAAGGCGGCUCACUGGCCCGUAACUGACGCUGAGGUGCGAAAGCGUGGGGAGCAAACAGG
rnacentral:rRNA from 1 species